rnacentral:rRNA from 1 species
GAGUUUGAUCGUGGCUCAGGAUGAACGCCGGCGGUGUGCCUAAUACAUGCAAGUCGUACGCACUGGCCCAAUUGAUUGAUGGUGCUUGCACCUGAUCGACGAUGGAUCACCAGUGAGUGGCGGACGGGUGAGUAACACGUAGGUAACCUGCCCUGUACAGGGGGAUAACAAUCAGAAAUGACUGCUAAUACCGCAUAAGACCACAGCACCGCAUGGUGCAGGGGUAAAAACUCCGGUGGUACAGGAUGGACCCGCGUCUGAUUAGCUGGUUGGUGAGGUAACGGCUCACCAAGGCGACGAUCAGUAGCCGGCUUGAGAGAGUGAACGGCCACAUUGGGACUGAGACACGGCCCAAACUCCUACGGGAGGCAGCAGUGGGGAAUAUUGCACAAUGGGGAAACCCUGAUGCAGCAACGCCGCGUGAGUGAAGAAGUAUUUCGGUAUGUAAAGCUCUAUCAGCAGGGAAGAAAGUGACGGUACCUGACUAAGAAG